rnacentral:lncRNA from 1 species
GACGAGGUCCGAAGGCAGGACUACCUGGUCUGCACCAAAGGAACAACUUCUCCUGAGGUACCAAACCCCUUUCGUGCUCGAGAUUAAGGGAACAAAACCACCAGAGAAGUUUAUCAAAUUCAACAUGUACAAUGAACAACCAAACCUAAGGUUGCGCAUCAACCACCUCAGGCAGAUGAUGGCACACUACAAACCCAAUACUCCCCAACGAGGCCCGAAGACAGGACUACCCAGUCCGCACCAAAUGAACAACUCCACUUGAGGUACCAAAAAC